GAUGAACGCUCGCGAUAGGCCUAACACAUGCAAGUCGAGGGGCAGCACAAGGUAGCUUGCUAUCUGGGUGGCGACCGGCGCACGGGUGCGUAACGCGUAUGCAACUUGCCCUAUACAGGAGGAUAACCCGUCGAAAGACGGACUAAUACUGCGUAUGCUCACAACUUGGCAUCAAGUGGUGAGGAAAGAAAUUCGGUAUAGGAUAGGCAUGCGUCCCAUUAGCUUGUUGGUGAGGUAACGGCUCACCAAGGCAACGAUGGGUAGGGGAACUGAGAGGUUUAUCCCCCACACUGGUACUGAGACACGGACCAGACUCCUACGGGAGGCAGCAGUGAGGAAUAUUGGUCAAUGGGCGCGAGCCUGAACCAGCCAAGUCGCGUGAAGGAGGACUGUCUUAUGGAUUGUAAACUUCUUUUAUACGGGAAUAACAAGAGUCACGUGUGACUCCCUGCAUGUACCGUAUGAAUAAGCAUCGGCUAACUCCGUG
rnacentral:rRNA from 1 species